GAUGUCCGCCAUCACCUCGUCAAAUAAACGACGAACAGAUACAAGAAGAAAUUCGAGAAAUUACACUGUUUAAAAGGUCAUGUUUGCAAUUGCCAGGGAACAAGCCAACCUGUUGGAUUCAGCACUGCUGAUUUUUUCCCCAACAAUAAAACAAUCUAUUCCCAUCUUUUUCCCACCAAGACAAACAGAUCUUGGUAAACCUUCCUGUCCAGUCUGCCUUCUAAAUUUCCCACUUUUUUUCCAUCCAUCUCUUACUUUGAACAUCCUUUCAUAUCAAGGUAAAGUUCAAGUAUCUUUUUGCAUUGAUUUUCUGUGCAUUUGAUACAUUGAUGCGYAUUGCAAGAUUUGAAUUUUUUCAUUAAUCUGGUAUUUGAACUUUACCUAAGUCUUGAGUACCCUGCCACGUUGCAUCUUUUCCCUCUAGUGAAGUUUGUUAUUUGUGUUUUUCUUGUUUUUGGCUCUGUUGAUGUAAGCAUAGGCAAUACAUUUCUAUCUUUGGUAUCGUUAUUUUUGGUUUCUUUUUAACCUGAUUUAAUUUACAAGUUGAUUUAAUUUACAAUUAUUUUUUAAUUAAUUUUACAUUUAUUUGCCUAUGCUUGACAUUAUGCUAUCCUUAUGUCAUGUCUUAUGCAUGACUUAAAUAACAAUUUUCUAUUUUAUACUAGCCUGCAUUACAUCCAGUUUUCACUGCAUUAGGUUUGUUUUCGUAAACUUGUGAAAUACACUCAGCACACUAUUUUCCCUCUCUUUUUUUCAAUGAUUUUCAUUUUGUUUUUCCUAAUGAAUGAUGUACUAUUACAACCUAUUUCACUAAUGGUUAUUAUCCUUGAUGUAUUCUCACAGUUUUAUGAAAGUUACUCUAAUGUUAGUGUUCAUGUGGUAAUGCUGUGUAUCCUGUGUUUUGCCUGCACCCAAGUGAAAACCAGGCUGUUCUUUCACAAGUGUUUAUCACCAGACUGUGAAGUAGAGAAGUGAUUGGGUGGUGUAUUAUUGUCUGCAUGUGUGAAACUGUUGAGAAAAAGUUGCCUAAUAUUUCAAGAUUUUUCAUGACAUUCCUCUUAACUACGCAGAAUUGGUACAUAUCCAUUUAAAUGUUGUUUCUACAAUUGAACAUGCAGCUAUAAUAGACUACCUUAAACAUCUUACGUGGCUGAUAACACAGUACCUCCAUAGCUAAACAACAUUCACUCUAAAUUUAUGUGAUGCUUAUAUUAUUCAAUAACAAAAUGGUCUCUCGAGGACAUCUGUGGCUAUAUAAGCUUCACUAUUUCACAGUCUGGCUAAAACAUAUUUUAAUGGUUAGAGGCCCAAGUGCAUCUGAGACCCUCUUCCAUUGUAAUAUGCAACAUUCUCAGAUACCCAUGGACCUUUGAGUAUAUUCACAUAUGGAUCAUAUAUAAACUUGACUAGAAAUCUCUGGAUGACAAGUCUUGAUUUAUCAAUUUACUUGGCGUUUCAACCAGUGCUUGCGACAUUUCAUACUCUAGAAAAUAAGAACGUCAAGUAAACUGAUAAAUUAAGACUUGUCAAUCAAAACUUCAAAGUCAAGUACUAAUAUCGUAAGUAGUUUGUCAGAGUGAUCGGUCACAAACCAGUUAAGGGAAGUCUCCUUGUUUCUUCACUUUAAGCGACACAGGAGACGCAACACUGAAUGAGAACAAAGGAAAUUACAUGGAGACUCCCCUUAAAUGUUUUGUACCUGAUUACUCAUGUAAACAGUCUGGUUCACACAAAGACAUAAGAAAUAUUUUUUUCUUCUUAUGUUAUGCUUAUGUCUUUCUGUGAACCAGACUUAACAUAUUGUUGACAUUGUAUAUCACGAAGGGGGGAUUAGGCAUUGUGUAGCUUAUUCCCUUGGGAAUUAAAAUAUGACAAAAUAAAAUACUAUGGAGGAUUA